rnacentral:ncRNA from 2 species
AUAAGACAAGUAAGCUUCUCCAGACUAAGGGUCAAAUUGGUAAUUUUUCUUACAUCUCCCCCCCCCCAAGGGCCCAGGAAUCAUAUACACCGCCAAAAUAAAGAGCCUUGAGUACUAGAAGAAAAGCACCGAGAC